UACAGAGGGGGCAAGCGUUGUUCGGAAUUACUGGGCGUAAAGGGCGCGUAGGCGGCCGCCUAAGUCAGACGUGAAAUCCCUCGGCUCAACCGGGGAACUGCCUUUGAAACUGCACGGCUUGAGGCCGGGAGGGGGUAGCGGAAUUCCCAGUGUAGCGGUGAAAUGCGUAGAUAUCUGGAGGAACACCGGUGGCGAAGGCGGCAUCCUGGACCGGUAUUGACGCUGAGGCGCGAAAGCUAGGGGAGCAAACGGG
rnacentral:rRNA from 1 species